rnacentral:rRNA from 1 species
UGGGGGAAUCUUCCGCAAUGGGCGCAAGCCUGACCCAGCAACGCCGCGUGAAGGAAGAAGGCUUUCGGGUUGUAAACUUCUUUUGUCAGGGACGAGUAGAAGACGGUACCUGACGAAUAAGCCACGGCUAACUACGUGCCAGCAGCCGCGGUAAUACGUAGGGAGCAAGCGUUGUCCGGAUUUAUUGGGUGUAAAGGGUGCGUAGGCGGCUACGUAAGUCAGACGUGUAAUGCAGGGGCUUAACCCCUGAACUGCGUUUGAAACUGUGUAGCUUGAGUGGAGUAGAGGCAGAUGGAAUUUCCAGUGUAGCGGUGAAAUGCGUAGAUAUUGGAAGGAACACCAGUGGCGAAGGCGACCUGCUGGGCUCUAACUGACGCUGAGGCACGAAAGCAUGGGGAGCAAACAGGAUUAGAUACCCUGGUAGU